rnacentral:lncRNA from 1 species
AGUAAGCACGUGCACACUGUUGUACAGCCGCCACCACCACCAUCUCCAGAACUUUCUCUUCUUCCCAAACUGAAUCUCUGUCCCCAUUACACCCUCACUGCACACCCGCCCCGUCCUCCUUUCCGUCUCUGGAAUCACCUAGUCUGUUGUCCUGUGACUGGCGUCAUUCAGCACAGUGCUUUCCAGGGUCGUCCACAUUGGAGCAGGUGUCAGGAUUGCCUCCCUGUUUAAGGCUGAGUUAGUGUAGUGAGUGGUGCAGUGGUUUUCACCAGGCCAUGCUUUCUGUAGCGGCUCUGUGGUCCCGAGGGCAGCUGUCAGCCCCUCCCCAGCACCCCCAGCAUGGACUCAGGGAAGUCUGCAUGCAUGCCAGUCUGGGAAUUACCAACUCUCCAGCCCCCGCAGGGGGUCCCAGAGUCUGAAAUGCCCCCUCCCCUUGGGCUCCAUCUGUCCUUUGUGCGCUCUGGCUUUUUGCCCGUGGAGACCUCACCCAGAGUGAGGGAGAGAACUGACUCCCUCGUUUCCUCCAGCAUCUUGCUGCCAUAGAAACAGAAAAAAAGUAUAGCCCUUGUAAGAGUUGAGGAAGUCGUGAGCCUAAGGGGGGCACUGUGGCCUUUCCCUCCUCCCGAACACCCCCGAAGGAUGGCGUCCCCACCCCUCCAAGCCCACUGAGGGGGAGCCCCAAGAGAGAUGCAGCUGCCUGCAAAAGGGACAGCUCCUCACGCAGGGUACUUGUUGAGCUACCCUCACCUGAGCUGAUGGAACUGGAGAGAUGGCUGGGUCAUGAAGAUAGACCUCUAGCUGCAGCCUGGUGGGGAGUGGUCCACCCCUGCAGCUGGUCCUCCCACACCCAGGAACAUCUUCUGAGCGUCCAAGCUGUGUGCCAAAAGUCUGAAGCUCACGUCCAGCAGCUCCAGGGAGGAGGGCCCUGGGGGCCCUCGGAGCAGGGGGACCUGGAGACACUGGGUGAGGAGGCUUGAUUCAGUCACCCAGAGGCAGAAGAGUCCCAUAGUUAAAGGGACUAUGCAGAGAGAGAUAGAAGCAGGUUCAAGUCUUGACUUGGCAGCUUGUGAACUGUGAGACCAGAGAGAGAGCAUUUGAUGUCUCUCAGCUUCACUUUCCUCAUUGGUAAUGUGGACUAUAGCGGCUCCUUCUUCACGGGCACUCCUUCAGAGUGAGAAUGUCUAUGAGGCUCAAAGGGGAUGCUGACCCCUGCAGACACGGUGGCUCAGGUGAAGGCAUGGUAUAUAUAUACCAUGUAUAAUAAUACAUGCACAUAUACCAUACGUAUCGUGUAUAUGUCAUGCAGUGCUAAGUCGCUUUAGUCGUGUCUGACUCUUUGUGACCCUAUGGACUGUAG